AGCGAACGCUGGCGGCAGGCUUAACACAUGCAAGUCGAGCGGGGUGAUGGUGCUUGCACUAUCACUUAGCGGCGGACGGGUGAGUAAUGCUUAGGAAUCUGCCUAUUAGUGGGGGACAACAUCUCGAAAGGGAUGCUAAUACCGCAUACGUCCUACGGGAGAAAGCAGGGGAUCACUUGUGACCUUGCGCUAAUAGAUGAGCCUAAGUCGGAUUAGCUAGUUGGUGGGGUAAAGGCCUACCAAGGCGACGAUCUGUAGCGGGUCUGAGAGGAUGAUCCGCCACACUGGGACUGAGGCACGGCCCAGACUCCUACGGGAGGCAGCAGUGGGGAAUAUUGGACAAUGGGGGGAACCCUGAUCCAGCCAUGCCGCGUGUGAAGAAGGCCUUAUGGUUGUAAAGCACUUUAAGCGAGGAGGAGGCUCUUUUGGUUAAUACCCAAGAUGAGUGGACGUUACUCGCAGAAUAAGCACCGGCUAACUCUGUGCCAGCCGCCGCUGUAACAC
rnacentral:rRNA from 1 species